rnacentral:lncRNA from 1 species
AGGGUUUGGAGCUGGUAUUCCAUAUUUUGGCUUCAAGUAAGUUUAAUUCUUGCUUUGUCCUUGAAAUUUUUAUAUUUCUAGACUUUUACAAUUAGGUCCAACUUAGUAUUCUACUAGUUUCUCAUUUUGUUGAAAGUUUUGGAAGAUACUAAUGAUAAGUUCAUAUGAUUUUUGUUAUUUUGUGAUGAAAUUGAGAUGUUAAUGGAUGUUUAAAGGUGUUUUAUUAAAGAAUUUUAGAUGAAAACAUGUUUUAGGGAUUAAAUUGAAAAGUAUUGAAAUC